rnacentral:lncRNA from 1 species
GCGGCGCAGGGAGCAGAGCAGGCGGCUGAAGCCGGGCGCAGGGCCGGGCCCUCCGGGAGGCGCAGGAAUGUGUGUGCAUUGCGGAAUCCUUGGAAAACCCAGAGGAACAGAGGGAAGAAAAUGAAAAUCACCUGUGAGAGUCAGGUCCGUCACAGGUGUCAUCUAUUGCUACAGUAGCAGCCGAAGAGUCUGCACCUGAGGAGAGCCUUGAGCACACUGAGGUCACUUUCCUUACCUGGCCAGCCUGCCGGCGCUGACUUUGUGUCUGCCCUCUUCAAGUGCUCACCUGAGAGGAGGAUGGAGGCCCCUGGAGGCACCAAGUGCCAAAAAGCAAUGGCAUCCAAUCUCCGUAGAUGAGGAAAACACAGACAUGCCCAGAGAACAAAAUUGAAAUCUUCUUUUUUGCAAAGGAAUGAACAUAGACUGAGGGAGGGGAAACGGCAUCGUCCUCUGAUCCAUUCAUUCUUAUUUAUUCAUUCGUUCACGUGUUCUUCCGGUGGAUGUUCAUCUCCGUGCAGGCACCGGGAAUAGGGCGAUGAAGUCUUUCCCCUCCUGGAGCUGACAUUCUAGAGAGACAAUAACCUGGCGAAUAAAUGAACCAUACGAGUAACGAAACAACAGC